UAUCACCAGUCUUACCUAGGUAGACUUCUCUGAGAACAGAUACUGUUUCUCUUGAUUCCUCCAUAUCCUUGCUCAAACUGCAGCUUGAUUUCAUGGCCAGCCUUGUGGUGAUUUGGUUCCUGGAACUGGCUGAACCUGCAUGGUCUAGGAUGGCCAGGAACCAUCCCACCUGGGCCUCUUCUUUGCACUCUGCUCUUGCUCACUUGCCAGAUGGACUUUUCACCCACAUUUUUUCCUCCAAGUUCUGGGUCAAGGCGGAAACCGAAUAUUUGGCCACUAAUGUCACCCACCUGGAGUAGCCUUGAUGCUGUUGCCUUACUGUUUUUGUUGUUGUUGUUGUUUUGUUUGUUUUCCCAUCUGUUGCUUACUGACAGUGACUUCUCUGCCCUUCGUGAUGGCCACUUCCUGUGCCUACCCUUUGCAUUCUCUCUGCCCACGGUUUUCUCCAGCCACUGCUAUGACAAACAGCUCCAGGCAGGUGGAAACCUGGCAGUGUGAUGUCUUAGCUGCAACAUGUCAUUCCAAUUUCUGUCUGGAUCUUCCAAGAGCCUUAGAGGGAGAGACUUGAAGAAACCUGCCAAAAGGAUGCUACUGCCAGGAGUUCACACCCUUACUAAGCACCCCUGACAGAGAAAGAAGAAACUGGAUACAUCCUGAGAACUUGGCAAAGUCUACCUCGCAUACUGAUGCCCCAGGAGUAGAUUUCCUAUUGGAGAAAUGAGAAGAGCUGCCAGAGUUAGCAAAAGACUAUAAAGGAAGUUGUGGAGACAGUCCUGGGUGGCCACAGGAAGCCUCACCUCAGCACAGAAGCACAUCUAAAAGGAGCUUCAACGUCAAAAGCCACCAAGUCACCAUGACUCCUGGAAGCAACAAAGGAGGACUUUACAAAUGAGUCCCCCAUCCUUCUGCCAGCACCAGACGCCUUACUCAGGGAUGCUGCCUUCUGGAGCCUCUAAACCCCAGUGACCUCCCUCUCCACCUCCAAGCUACUGCCACCCUUCACUCAUGACCAGGCACACUUUCACAGCUCCUCCCAAUGUCUGACCACCCUCUGAAUGCCAUUAACACCACAGAUGUACCAGGAAAUGGCUGUGAAGCCUACAGUAGUCAUCAAAAUGAGACAAGGGAAAGGAUGAAAUAUUUAAGGCUUAAUAUCUAUUGUCCCCUUCAUAAAGUUGUCACAACAAGAAUGAUACAAAUGGGAUGUUUUAAAAGAAAGAAUGAAAUGUUUUACAUGAUCACAUAAACCAUGACACGAUAGCCUGGGGACAUAGCUCAACAGCAGAGCACCUGCCUAGCAUGAACAAUGCCUUGACUUUGAUUCCAAGUAAGUGAAGAAAUAAAGUAUAACCUCAGAAACAUAAAAAAUUUUUCAAUCAAAGUAUUUUUUGGUGUUCUUUGCACAGCUCUCAAUUUGGGAGAAUGAUAUAAUAAAGCCAAAAACUCUAAA